rnacentral:lncRNA from 1 species
UUGCACACCACCUCCUUUCCUGGGAGUGGAGAAGCCCCAGCCAGAACCCUUGCCUUCCCCAAGAGGCACGCUCAGAGGGACAUUCUGCCCUUCCUCACUGCCCCUAGAGCCAACAUCACACCUGGCUUUGGGGCCCUAGAACCUCAGCCCGCGCCCCUCCCCUUCCACCCCCAGCCAUCCCUGCUCUGUGCCCAGUGAUCUUGGGGUCACCACAACCCCAUGGCGCCUUGAGGCCUCACCUUUCCUGGCCUCUCAGCAUCCUGGGACACUGAUGGUCAUGCCUUCCUUCUAGAAAGUUCUCUCCGAGGCUGUGGCUUCCAGGAUGAGCACUCUCCUCCUCCCACUUCCUCCCCUUCUCCUUCCCCCUCCUCCCUUCUCCCUGGAGAGGUCUUUCUCCAAGCCCCAGUCUUCCUCCCCACCCGGUGCCCCUCCCGCUGACAUUUGUCUGCAGUGCCUGUCUCCGCUCCCGCUAGGAAGCCUCCCCUCCGGCAUCUCCAAUCCAUCUCUGGGUCCUGCUCCACCUGCAUUUCCCUAGACCUGUCCUGGCCACCCUCACCCUGGGACACCUCCUGCCCGUGGAGAGCUCCUCUGAUAGGUGCCGUCCUUGGUCUUGGGGGUCCUUUCUCCCUAAUUCUACUUCUGUUUUGGGGGCGUGGGAACCCAGGGUCUUAACCCCAGCCAUUCCCCCUCCCAGGGGCCACUUCCCUCUGAAGCUUAGCCCAGCUCUGUGACCCCCACAGGCCUGCCCCCACCUGGUCCUCACUCCCCUGCAUAGCCACACUGUGGGGGCUCCAUGCUUCCCAGCCCAUAGGAAGCCCUGUUCCCAGAGGGGGCCAUUCUGUUUUAGUUGGAGCAGUGGCCAGAGGCAAAGGUCAGAAGGCAAAGGUCAUAAAAGUUUGUCUCUACCUGCCAGCAUCUGCCCCUGCUACCGCAUCUUCUCCCCUCUCCACCCAAACCCUCCCUCAGCUCCUGCCUCCACCUCUCCAGAGGCACAGACAACAGGGUUCUGAUCUUGGGUCAUGGUGCUCCCCCUGCCAGCCUCAGUCCGAGACCUCUGUGAAUGGGGGUGAUGGCUAAUGGGAUGAGGGGACCACCUCCUGGUGGCUGCAGGGACUGGGGUGAGGGUGCUGUAGGCUCUGCCUAAGUCAAGUGCCAUGGGGCUGAAGAGACGGCGCACCGGCCCUGGAGAAGAGUCCUCCCUGCCCUCCUGUGUCUGGCCUUGUUUCCUGGAGGACAGGUCCCCACGGGGCAGAGACCCAGCAGUCCCAGUCCUGAACAAAAUAUGUGUUUCAACUGCUAUCCAGUUCUGGUUUCCCUUGACAUUGGUGAGACAUAUAAACAGAGGGCAGCUGGGAAUGGAGGGGGCAGGGCCUUCCCAUGCACAGUGGGGGGUGGGGGGACCUGCCCUCCAUCCAGUCCCCAGGGUCCUACUCAUUGCAGGGGGCCCUCCUGGAGGUGUCCUUGGUCCUGUACUGCAGGGUGGGCUGCAACGGGGCUGGGGGCAGGUCUGCACCCCCCACCCCUGAGAUGUGGGUUUGUCUAUCUGUGCUGGGGAUUCUGGAGACGGCACCUGCAGAACUUAAU